AUUGAACGCUGGCGGCAGGCCUAACACAUGCAAGUCGAGCGAGCGGCGGACGGGUGAGUAAUGUCUGGGAAACUGCCUGAUGGAGGGGGAUAACUACUGGAAACGGUAGCUAAUACCGCAUACCAUCAGAUGUGCCCAGAUGGGAUUAGCUAGUAGGUGGGGUAACGGCUCACCUAGGCGACGAUCCCUAGCUGGUCUGAGAGGAUGACCAGCAACACUGGAACGGAGACACGGUCCAGCAGCCGACGGGAGGCCGCCGUGGGGAAUAGUGCAUAAGGGUCGCAAGCCUUAUGCAGCGAUGCCGCGUGUCGGAAGAAGGCUUCCGGGUGGUAAAGCACUGUCAGCGGGGAGGCGUUGCCCGCCGAGGAAGCACCGGCUAACUCCGUGCCAGCAGCCGCGGUAAUUC
rnacentral:rRNA from 1 species